rnacentral:rRNA from 1 species
UACAGAGGUCUCAAGCGUUGUUCGGAUUCAUUGGGCGUAAAGGGUGCGUAGGCGGCGCGGUAAGUCGGGUGUGAAAUUCGACGGGCUUAACUUCGAAACUGCAUUCGAUACUGCCGUGCUUGAGGACUGGAGAGGAGACUGGAAUUUACGGUGUAGCGGUGAAAUGCGUAGAUAUCGUAAGGAAGACCAGUGGCGAAGGCGGGUCUCUGG